GCGGGCGUGGCGGAACUGGCAGACGCGCUAGAUUUAGGUUCUAGUGGUAUUAUUACCGUGGGGGUUCGAGUCCCUUCGCCCGCA
rnacentral:tRNA from 1 species